UCUUAUGCACAACUCCCUCAAUUAGCGUUGCCGCUCAUGAUCCUUUUUUUCUUCGGUUCCUUUCUUUUUCUCUCUCUCCCACGUAUGUUGAAGAACCAAGCAAAAGUAGCAUUCCCAUGGGCCAUCUAGAGACUCUACGGCGUUAUCCCUGCAUGCACUAACGCCUCUGCCGUUCGAAACUGCAGUCUGCACGUCCUCCACUUUCACAGAAGCUCAACCUAAAUUCUUCAACAGCUCGAAGCCCACUGUCCAACUCCAAGCACGGCGUCGCACCCAACCGCAGAGGACCACCCAACCCGUGUACAUCAAACCUAUGUUUUUGCCUAUUAAAACAGAGCACAUUUUGUGCUUUCAACCCGUCACACAUCGGAAGCCUAGUGGCUUCGCCAGCCCUGCUCGUCGCCUCCACCUGCACGGGAGCUGCCGCCGAAUACUGCUUGUCACCCCAGUGGUUUUCCUCUCGAUAAGCACACAGCUUCUCCUCCGUUUCUCUUCCGCAAGCCGUGUUGUCCCUUUGCAUCUCUCUCUAUUUUCCUCUCUCUCUUUCUCAGCUCCACCACGCACGAAAAGGCCGCCAUCGCUUACCUUGUGGCCGCUUGGAACUUCAGCCGUUGGUUAGUCUCGGUUGCAUAAUUUUGAUGCUUUAGCUGAGAGUCAAGAGUAGGAAUUGUUAACAAUAUUCGAUAAUCGUUAAGGAAUAAGUGCCAAAGGUACAAGUAGUUAUUGGAGAGUUUUAUUUGAUAGAUUUAUUAUUUAUGUUAUUUUAGUGUUUUGAGUUAUGGAUAUUUAUGAGUGUUGGAGGAGAUUUUAAUUUAUUUUAUUGAGGUUUUAUUUCAGUAUCUUGAUGAAAGCACAAGUACACUUGAUUUGAAUAAAUAAAUUUAUUAUUUUGGAGUUUUUGAAUUA